rnacentral:rRNA from 1 species
UAAGGAUACGUUCGUUGGGUAGGGGAGCGUUCUGUAAGCCUGCGAAGGUGGCCUGUGAGGGUUGCUGGAGGUAUCAGAAGUGCGAAUGCUGACAUAAGUAACGAUAAAGCGGGUGAAAAGCCCGCUCGCCGGAAGACCAAGGGUUCCUGUCCAACGUUAAUCGGGGCAGGGUGAGUCGACCCCUAAGGCGAGGCCGAAAGGCGUAGUCGAUGGGAAACGGGUUAAUAUUCCCGUACUUGGUGUUACUGCGAAGGGGGGACGGAGAAGGCUAUGUUGGCCGGGCGACGGUUGUCCCGGUUUAAGCGUGUAGGUGUGUGUUCCAGGUAAAUCCGGUUCACUUUAACACUGAGGCGUGACGACGAGGCACUACGGUGCUGAAGCAACAAAUGCCCUGCUUCCAGGAAAAGCCUCUAAGCAUCAGGUAACAUCAAAUCGUACCCCAAACCGACACAGGUGGUCAGGUAGAGAAUACCAAGGCGCUUGAGAGAACUCGGGUGAAGGAACUAGGCAAAAUGGUGCCGUAACUUCGGGAGAAGGCACGCUGACACGUAGGUGAAGUGAUUUACUCAUGGAGCUGAAGUCAGUCGAAGAUACCAGCUGGCUGCAACUGUUUAUUAAAAACACAGCACUGUGCAAACACGAAAGUGGACGUAUACGGUGUGACGCCUGCCCGGUGCCGGAAGGUUAAUUGAUGGGGUCAGCGCAAGCGAAGCUCCUGAUCGAAGCCCCGGUAAACGGCGGCCGUAACUAUAACGGUCCUAAGGUAGCGAAAUUCCUUGUCGGGUAAGUUCCGACCUGCACGAAUGGCGUAAUGAUGGCCAGGCUGUCUCCACCCGAGACUCAGUGAAAUUGAACUCGCUGUGAAGAUGCAGUGUACCCGCGGCAAGACGGAAAGACCCCGUGAACCUUUACUAUAGCUUGACACUGAACAUUGAGCCUUGAUGUGUAGGAUAGGUGGGAGGCUUUGAAGUGUGGACGCCAGUCUGCAUGGAGCCGACCUUGAAAUACCACCCUUUAAUGUUUGAUGUUCUAACGUGGACCCGUAAUCCGGGUUGCGGACAGUGUCUGGUGGGUAGUUUGACUGGGGCGGUCUCCUCCUAAAGAGUAACGGAGGAGCACGAAGGUUGGCUAAUCCUGGUCGGACAUCAGGAGGUUAGUGCAAUGGCAUAAGCCAGCUUGACUGCGAGCGUGACGGCGCGAGCAGGUGCGAAAGCAGGUCAUAGUGAUCCGGUGGUUCUGAAUGGAAGGGCCAUCGCUCAACGGAUAAAAGGUACUCCGGGGAUAACAGGCUGAUACCGCCCAAGAGUUCAUAUCGACGGCGGUGUUUGGCACCUCGAUGUCGGCUCAUCACAUCCUGGGGCUGAAGUAGGUCCCAAGGGUAUGGCUGUUCGCCAUUUAAAGUGGUACGCGAGCUGGGUUUAGAACGUCGUGAGACAGUUCGGUCCCUAUCUGCCGUGGGCGCUGGAGAACUGAGGGGGGCUGCUCCUAGUACGAGAGGACCGGAGUGGACGCAUCACUGGUGUUCGGGUUGUCAUGCCAAUGGCACUGCCCGGUAGCUAAAUGCGGAAGAGAUAAGUGCUGAAAGCAUCUAAGCACGAAACUUGCCCCGA